ensembl:lncRNA
UCUAUGUCUCUCUCUCAUUCUGCCUUCCUAUAACUCUGUCGCACCACUUCAAAAUAACCUGGCCCCAGCGUGACAUCAUUGUUUGGGUAGGGUCGGUUAUGAAGGGACUGCCACACAGCCGUGUCUGCUUUGGAGGAAAGGCUGUCCCCCCAGUUUCACCGUGCUCCCUAUAUAUUGCACGUCUUUUGCCAUGAAAGCGGUGAAUGGGAUGACAGGCCCAUUGACUCAGGCUGUCUGGACAACAGCAUCACGCUCUCUCUACAUGUGCUUCAAAACAUCAGACGACACAGAUGAAGUGAUAAUGUAAGAGGUGAGAAGGAGAGAUGGAGACAGAGCUUCGGGUGGAGGCCUGGGGAGUGAAGACACGAUGAAGACUUCCAGACCUCUGGAAUGAAGAUGGAUGUGUGGACACAGCAUUGCUGCCUGGGACAAACUGUACCAUCGUCUAUCAUGACCUAUUCACCUCUGACCCAUGACAGUCCAUAUACACACACACACACACACACACACAUACACACACAGACACAUAGCCCAGGGCCAGCUGAAAGAGCCCUAGCCAAAUUAUUAUUUUUUUGAGCUUUCUUCCCCAUAGAACGCUCUGUUAUAAAACCCUCUAAAUAAUCACAAAUAGCUCCAUCCAAAUGUUCCACUAUCCCACUGGAUAUAGCAUUACAACCCAACAAACUUAGUGAACAUGCUUUGGUGAGAAGUCUCACGUUUUGGGAACUCCAUACCCAAAAACAUUUACAGUACAGUUCAUGUACUUAUACAUUUCAGUGUGUUGUACAGACCACGCCCCUCCCCCCUCAUCGACCAAUCUUCACACAGCGCUCCCCAACACCUGAGAGAUGUUUCUGUCGUGAUCACUACUGGUGAUGUAACUCUGCCCUUUCAAACCCCCUGCAAAUGUGUCCCGAAGCACAACUGUGUGGCAGUUGGUGGCAGUGUGUGUUCUAGCACAUUCCCUGAGCUAAACUGGUCACAUCCACAACAGCCAUAGGGGAAAGACAGCUAUUAACACUAUUUUACAUUACAUUAUAGUCAAAAGAUAACAGACAGAGUGGAUGGGAGUUGAACUAUUUUAAUUACUUAAUAAAAAGGUGAGUUUUCAGAUGAUUUUGAAGACAGGUAGAAAUUGCUGUCAAGCCCCCCAAGUGAAGCUUGUUCCACCAUUGAGGUGCCAGGGCAGAGGAAAUGACUGAGUGAAUAGGGAACUGCCCCAAAGUGGAAGCAAUCCUACCUGGCAGGCUACUACUACCAUGUGAGAUGGAGAGGAUCUGUGUUUGCCACCCACUGCAUGAACACUGGUUGGCCUGCAGCCAAAACUGGGCUAAGCAACAUCUUGUCCACACUGGUUCAAGACCCAAGGAAAGAACGCACUGAGACUGGGUAAGACAGAUCAGCACUCAGUUCUUCCAGUUAACGAAGUGUGCAGCCAACACCCUGAGACCCAAGCACCAGGUCUUCCUCGACCACCAUGAAAAAGGUGCAAGGUGACAGGGAGAGACCAAAAGGGAGAUCUAGAAACGUGUAGACUACUACCUCUAUGUUGAAUAUCAAUGUGACAAGGCCCAAACCCCAUGUUCACAUAAAAGUAAAGUCUUUCAGAUCGAAGAAUGUAAACCACUUAUGAUAACAACUUGCAGACAUUCGAAAUUUGCAGACAUUAAAAUACCCAUUGAGGGCCCAUGAUUCUAUAAUGUGACAAAAAACAUUAGAUGGCUACUCUGGCAGUAUCUCAUCAGUUUCGAUGACCAAGAUGCCCCCAGUCUAAAACAUAAUCCAAUUGGACUGGACAGAUUCAACAUCUUCUGGCUUUCACAAUUCCAUGACAUCAGACCAUUUUCUUCCUAUUCUGCCUGUAACCACCCACUUCGAAAAAGCCGUAGUCAAGGGGAUGGAAGCAGCAUUAUGCGAACUUCCAACUUUUGGACUCUAACUGGGUGUAGUUGGUGACACUAAUUACAUAAACUGAGAUGAAGAAGGGCAGCAGAAGCUUGAACUGAGCCAAAAAACACCUAAAAUGUUGUGAGGACUAUUGGGAGUGAUAUGAAAGCUAUAACCAAGGACAUGAUCUAGAAAAGUGUUUCUUGAACCUCUACAGGGGGCACACAGCUUUUCUGUGUGUUAGACGUAUCACAGAGCUCUCACACAGAUCAGCUUUUCAGCUAAGCUCUAUAAACGCAUAGCUUAUUCACUAUAGCUAGUUUAAAGUAUUAGGGGGUCGCUAGGUGAGGUUUGAGAACCCCUGGUCUAGAAUACAAACCUGAUUAGAAAGCAUUGUGUGCUUGUUCCUACUCAUAGACACCAGCAGUGCUUUGAAGGAAAAGCUAACAUAACAAUUUCAGCAACAGAGUCCAUCAGGUUAAGUAUGUUUCUCUAUAAUAGAAAAGAAGCUAAAGCUGGCAUUAAUACAUUCCAAUGUGUUUUAGAAAAGCGUAGUUCAAUGAAGAACAGAAAGCUCUGAGAUCAAGGGCCUAGCUGUGAUAAUAUCACCUGGAAAGUGGGGCUUUCAAUGGGAUCUCAUUUGCCUUGAAAUGGGAUUGUAGAGUAUGUUCACAUAUGGAUGUGAUAAAAGCAUGUAGCCUCACAGUGUGUGGUGCCGGUUGAUCGACUGAAAGGGAACUGUGACCCGUUUUAUGUUCUACGUGAGUCAAAUGUGAUAAUAGCCAGUUUCCUAUGUUGUGAAUGGGUGCUGUUCUUACAAGGACGUUAAUACCUUUCUAGACACUACAAACUUGGCAGUCUGAUAGCCAAUGAGGUGAAACAAGGUGAAGCAUUCUCGUCUAAGGGGAGGCUGGUUUAGUUUUGAAGACGAUGUGUUCCAAAUAAACCUGAAGUUUUUGAGGGGGGAUGCAGGGAAUUGCUCAUUCAGAAAGUGCGCUGCUCGUACAGUAUGACCUCUAUAUGGAGCAGUCCUUUGUCUUAAGUACAUGACUGAAAAUGAUCAGUGCAAACCUCUGGUAUAUGGGCCAUGUUCACAGGCUGACAGUGUGUGGCCUUCAAGAGGCAGGCCGACAUAAGUCAAGGGAACAGUAGCUAGCAAGAUACUGCUCCGUGUCAGCGAUCAUGGGCAGCCUUGCAGUGUGUUGUUGGAAGUAUUAUCUGUACUCCUAGAUGUUCCCACAUACUGAAUCCUUCUUAAAUUGUACAUUUGAUUUGUG